UUUCGCGAUAGGAUGGCUGAGGAAUAGGCAAUAAACUGUAAAUUUAUCAACGAAAUUAAUUUCUUCUAUCA
rnacentral:tRNA from 1 species